rnacentral:rRNA from 1 species
CCCAGACUCCUACGGGAGGCAGCAGUGGGGAAUAUUGGGCAAUGGGCGCAAGCCUGACCCAGCAACGCCGCGUGAAGGAAGAAGGCUUUCGGGUUGUAAACUUCUUUUGUCAGGGACGAAGCAAGUGACGGUACCUGACGAAUAAGCCUCGGCUAACUACGUGCCAGCAGCCGCGGUAAUACGUAGGAGGCAAGCGUUAUCCGGAAUGACUGGGCGUAAAGGGUGCGUAGGUGGUUUGACAAGUUGGUAGCGUAACUCCGGGGCUCAACCUCGGCACUACUACCAAAACUGUUGGACUUGAGUGCAGGAGGGGCAAAUGGAAUUCCUAGUGUAGCGGUGGAAUGCGUAGAUAUUAGGAGGAACACCAGUGGCGAAGGCGGCUUACUGGACUGUAACUGACGUUGAGGCUCGAAAGCGUGGGGAGCAAACAGGAUUAGAUACCCCAGUAUU